ACUUAAAGCCUUGUAUUGGGUGGUUGAUUGAACUCCCAUGGGAUUAGUGGGCUACUAGAGUCAGGUGUCAUCUGUACUGGAUAUGAAAUGUUUGAACUAAGUUUAUCCGCUGCCAUCUGAUUUCUGAUCACGCAAAAUACUCCUUUCGCGGGUCAAUAGUGUUUUCCACUUACGUACUAAAUCGAGAGCAUUAAUGCGAGCCUUUCUGAUUUGGAAAUCUUGUCAUGUUAGAACCAAAACUGGUGACAUGGUUCAGAGGUUUCUCGUUCUAGCCACGUCCUAUGAUUGUAUUCCGC
rnacentral:lncRNA from 1 species